rnacentral:tRNA from 1 species
GCGAAAGUGGCGGAACUGGUAGACGCGCUAGAUUCAGGUUCUAGUACCUGCAAGGGUGUGGGGGUUCGAGUCCCCCCUUUCGCA